rnacentral:rRNA from 1 species
ACACCGGCAGCUCAAGUGGUGGCCUAUUUUUAUUGGGCCCCUAAAGCGUUCGUAGCCGGCUUGAUAAGUCUCUGGUGAAAUCCCAUAGCUUAACUGUGGGAAUUGCUGGAGAUACUAUUAGGCUUGAGGCCGGGAGAGGUUAGGGGUACUCCCAGGGUAGGGGUGAAAUCCUAUAAUCCUGGGAGGACCACCUGUGGCGAAGGCGCCUAACUGGAACGGACCUGACGGUGAGUAACGAAAGCCAGGGGCGC